GGAAAAAUCAAUCUAUCCAGGUGGUCAAGGAAUUCACUCACAGAAAAAGAGAGAUGCUCUGGAGAGGGAGAGUGUUCCAGGUGUGCCACGUGACUCAACAGGUACUCCAGUUAUACAAGUAUUAGGGCGCUGGAGGCUGUCCUUAGGCAGCUUUAUCAGGCAGACAUGGCUUGUGCAUCCUGACCACAUUUCAACUCUGGCAUUCUAGCAUCUGGUUCUGUGCCCUCCC